rnacentral:rRNA from 1 species
UACGGGAGGGGGCUAGCGUUGCUCGGAAUCACUGGGCGUAAAGCGCGCGUAGGCGGCCCGGUAAGUCCCGUUGUGGAAAGUCAAAGGCUCAACCUUUGAACGCCGAUGGAUACUGCCGGGCUGAGAGUCCGGAAGAGGCGAGUGGAAUUCCUGGUGUAGCGGUGGAAUGCGCAGAUAUCAGGAAGAACACCGGUGGCGAAGGCGGCUCUCUGGGCCUUACCUGACGCUGAGGAGCGAAAGCGUGGGUAGCGAACAGG